AUACUUCCAAACCCUCCUUUGGGCCCACUGCCAUCCAGCUUAGGAGUUGUUUCAGCUCUUCUCAUCACCUGGAUGCUGGCACAGGGCCAUGCCUCAGGUGUUUUGUGCUCUCUGAAAUGAGGAGAUGGCUCAUGGAUCUGUUUAAGCUGUUGGUAACAGCAGGAAAAUGUACCACUUCUGCUUGAGCAGUACAUAGAUUCUGUGGCAAAUAUGAUACACAGAGCCAAAGAAGAUCCUAUACCCUUGAAGGCCCAGACCAAAUCUACCAUGACAGCCUCCUGCCAUCAGAUCCCUAUCGAGCAAGGGCAUCUGGAAGCUCAUUUGGGAUGAGAACUGCUCCCUUUCACCAUCCCUGCUGGCCUUCUGUGGGCAGAGCCUCGGCAGUGCUUUUCUCAGGAUCACAAAGCUGUGGGUCCACUUUGGCCUCUGCUCAACAGCUCAGGUGUAGCAUCAGGAACACCUCAAGAACUGCUCUUGCUGAUGCUCUCUGUUGUAAUAUCCACCCUCAGGAACCAACAUUUCUAACUUGGACAACUGAAACUUGCUGGAAAACGGAGCAGACUUCCUGUGUGAAGGAAAUGGAUGCCACAUAUAGAAACAAAAGUUACUGGAACACUGCUGUACACUAG
rnacentral:lncRNA from 1 species